rnacentral:lncRNA from 1 species
GUUUGAGGAACACCACCUUGGAGCUUUCACUCUGUUCCCCCUCCCUACAUCUGUUUUUUUCCAUCUCUUUGCAAAGGUGAGCACACAGAGGCACACUCUUCCAAACAAGAGAAGAGAGAGAAGACACAGUGUUCCAAGUUGGAGUGUUCAAUCCAAGCCCAUCAUCACCCUUCCCAAAUGACUUGGGGGAGAAAGAAAAGCUAUGCCAUGACAUUCUGUGGUUGUAUCAAGAUGCCCAUAUGGAUUCUCCAUUGGCUCUAUGUUGGGAGACUGUAAGGACUGAGCAAGCAAUACCAGCCACACAGCUCAACUUUUGAAAAGGUAUUGAAUAGCUCAGCACAGUGCUAUGCCACCAAUUGCAAAUGCAGGAAAAGGAUUAGCAGUAUUUGCAGUAUUUGCAGAAGCCCUCCUUGUUAUGUUGGAUUGUUCCACCUAUAUGAUUGCUUCCACAACAGUAGUGAGUCUACGUCUGUGACUACAUGUGUAUGCUGUGCCCACCAUCCUCUCAAUCACUCUCAUGCUAAUUGUGUGGGAGUCAGGGGAUUCUCCAUUUCCAUUACUUUAAAUGGAUGUAUAAAUAAAGAAGACAUUGUUCUGUACAGAAGCAAACAAUGACUACUACCCCACACCAAAACUGCCUGCACAGUCAACUCCCCCCUCCACAUCACUUUUGUAUCUUAUGUUAUUAAGAAUCAAUUCCCCAUCUAUGGAAUUAUGCAUUUUGUGCAACUGAGAAUUAAUUUCCAGACCAGGUGUGAUGUUUUUUGAGCCAUUAAGAAUCAACCCCCAGACUUGGCUUCACAAAGGUAAAUAUUUGAUAUUGAUGUUUAUCAAGUGAAUAGUUUGAACAAGUAUUUUCUUUAUUUUUUUUUCUUUUGUUUUUUUCCCCUAUUGGGCCAUUAAGAAUCAAUCCUCCAGGCUGAGCAUUUAUGUUCCUUUAGUCAUUGAGGAUCAAUCCUCUGGACUAAGCACUUAUAUUUCUUAGGUCAAUCAAAAUCACUCUCUAGACUAGGUAUUUAUGUUUUUUGAGCCACUACAAAUGAACACCCAAACUUGAUGCUUAAAAAUAUGAAUUUUUGCAAUCAAUAUUUAUUUAAAUUAAUAGUUUGGAAAAAUCCAAUUGUUCUUUUAGUGUGCUGGCUUAAGGUAGGAAUUCAAGGAUAAAUUACCUUAUUUAUUUGAAGUUAUGUGAUUAGAAGUUUAUCUGCAAAACCCAUGUUUUCUGAUACAGUUGAGUAGGCUUCUUUUCUUAGAUAGUAGGUUAAAUGGAAGUAAUCACAGAAAUGCAUGUCAGUGCCUCUAUUCUUACGUUAUAGAUACGUUUCUUGUUUUUUUUAUUUUGUUUCCCUUAGUCUACCUUUUUUGUGCUUCUCGAACCUCUCUCGUGUAUCCUCUCUUCUUGCAUUGUCUAUUUCUUUAAUUAGGUUUUUUUUUUUGCUUCCUUGACUCAACUUUUCUAUGUCUCUCAAUUUUUGCACCUUGCAAGUGUUGUUAGAUAGUAUUUUUUUAGAUAUCCUAACAAACAAGUAAAUAAUAAUAAUAAUAAUAAAUACUUUCACAUAUUAUACCAAAAUAAAAAAAAUCAUAAAAAAUUUAUGUAUCAUUUUUAAUAAAUAUUGCAAGAAAAAAUAAAAAUUACUAAUUGAAAUUCUUGCAUUGUUACUUUUAUUGGCAAAAAAUGACAGUGUUCAUAAAAAAACUACAAACAAUAAAUUAGUAAAAGAAUUGUAUUUAUUUGAGUGAUAAACAUAUUAUUGUCAAAUGUUUGUACAUUUAUAAGUUGUCUGUCUUUUUAUAGAAAACUUAAACAAACACAAAUUCACAAGGAAGAAACAUAAAACUUUACAUAAUGUGAAUUCUAAAAAAACAUUUUAAAGGGUGUGACAAUAAAGCAAGGUGAUUGUGUGAUAUAAUUGCACAACUCAUAACUAUGUUGGAACCUAUUGGUUCCAACGCUCUGUGAACAAAAUUGACAAACAUGUAAUACUAAUAGUAUAGCAGAUGUUCAUGUAUUCAGA